ACGCGCCAAUACGUGAAUGGUGCCCUCCGGCUUGUCAGCCGGAGGGUGAAACGGGAAGCCGGUGACACGCGAGAUUUUCAUUUCGCGCCAGUCCGGCGCAGCCCCCGCUGCUGUAAGCCUGACGACCUUGAUCAACCGCCACUGUGCCACGCACGGGAAGGCAAGAUCAGGGAAGGAUGAUGGCGAGCCAGAAGACCGGCCAGUCACGAUGCACGGUA
rnacentral:ncRNA from 2 species